AUGAAGAGCUGUGAUGGUCAGAAUAACCAUUUUCUCAUGGUGAUUUUAUUAACUCGGAUGAUAAUAGUUAAUUUGAGGGAAGAAAAAGGGAGAAAACAGAAGUAUGUACAGGAUGGAGUGCAAUGGUGCAAUCUCGGCUCACUGCAACUUCUGCCUCCCAAGUUCAAGUGAUUCUCCUGCCUCAGCCUCCCGAGUAGCUGGAAUUACAGAUUUGUGGCAGAUUGAAGACGGCCACACAUUCUCUGACACUCCUUCUAUAGAGAGGUGAAGACUCUGUCCCUUCAUUUGAAAUCUGGAUCAGCUUCAUAACUGCCUUGUCUGAUGAGGCAUGUUGGAAGAGACACCAAGACAGCUUCUGGGCUCGGGUCUAAAGAAAUUCAUAGCCUCUACUGCUACUCUCUUGAAAUAGUCUCUGUGAGUAUCCUGGUCUGACAUAUACCCUACUCUGCUAUGUAAGAAAUUUGACCAUCUUGGGACACCUGUGCUGAAAAAGC
rnacentral:lncRNA from 1 species